GAGUUUGAUCAUGGCUCAGAUUGAACGCUGGCGGCAUGCCUUACACAUGCAAGUCGAACGGCAGCACGGGAGCUUGCUCCUGGUGGCGAGUGGCGAACGGGUGAGUAAUGCAUCGGAACGUAUCCUGGAGUGGGGGAUAACGUAGCGAAAGUUACGCUAAUACCGCAUAUUCUGUGAGCAGGAAAGCGGGGGACCUUCGGGCCUCGCGCUCUUGGAGCGGCCGAUGUCGGACUAGCUAGUUGGUGAGGUAAAGGCUCACCAAGGCGACGAUCCGUAGCAGGUCUGAGAGGAUGAUCUGCCACACUGGAACUGAGACACGGUCCAGACUCCUACGGGAGGCAGCAGUGGGAAUUUUGGACAAUGGGGGCAACCCUGAUCCAGCCAUGCCGCGUGAGUGAAGAAGGCC
rnacentral:rRNA from 1 species